GUUCAGAGUUCUGUUGCUCCUUCAGCUUCCACUCCACAGUUAACACCUGAUUCGACUUCAACACCUUCCUAUACUGACUUUCUGAAAUGGUUUGAGGAUCGACAGACUUCGGGUUCCACUGCUACCAUUGCAGACGCUGGACCGGAGUACGGGGAGGAUGAUUGGUUUCGGAUGUGAAUCUCAUGGCCUAUAUCGGCUU